rnacentral:rRNA from 1 species
UGAAUGAAUUUAGAUUCAUGGCGUACGGCUCAGUAACACGUGGAUAACUUACCCUUAGGACUGGGAUAACUCUGGGAAACUGGGGAUAAUACCGGAUAUUAGGCUAUGGCUGGAAUGCUUUGCCUUUGAAAUGAUUUUUCGCCUAAGGAUAGAUCUGCGACUGAUUAGGUCGUUGGUGGGGUAAUGGCCCACCAAGCCUAUGAUCGGUACGGGUUGUGAGAGCAAGAGCCCGGAGAUGGAACCUGAGACAAGGUUCCAGACCCUACGGGGUGCAGCAGGCGCGAAACCUCCGCAAUGUACGAAAGUGCGACGGGGGGAUCCCAAGUGUUAUUCUUAAUAGGAUAACUUUCAUUAGUGUAAA